AUGAACGCUAGCUACAGGCUUAACACAUGCAAGUCGAGGGGCAGCAUGAACUUAGCUUGCUAAGUUUGAUGGCGACCGGCGCACGGGUGAGUAACACGUAUCCAACCUGCCGAUGACUCGGGGAUAGCCUUUCGAAAGAAAGAUUAAUACCCGAUGGCAUAGUUCUUCCGCAUGGUGGAACUAUUAAAGAAUUUCGGUCAUCGAUGGGGAUGCGUUCCAUUAGGUUGUUGGCGGGGUAACGGCCCACCAAGCCUUCGAUGGAUAGGGGUUCUGAGAGGAAGGUCCCCCACAUUGGAACUGAGACACGGUCCAAACUCCUACGGGAGGCAGCAGUGAGGAAUAUUGGUCAAUGGACGAGAGUCUGAACCAGCCAAGUAGCGUGAAGGAUGACUGCCCUAUGGGUUGUAAACUUCUUUUAUACGGGAAUAAAGUGAGGCACGCGUGCCUUUUUGUAUGUACCGUAUGAAUAAGGAUCGGCUAACUCCGUGCCAGCAGCCGCGGUAAUACGGAGGAUCCGAGCGUUAUCCGGAUUUAUUGGGUUUAAAGGGAGCGUAGGCGGACGCUUAAGUCAGUUGUGAAAGUUUGCGGCUCAACCGUAAAAUUGCAGUUGAUACUGGGUGUCUUGAGUACAGUAGAGGCAGGCGGAAUUCGUGGUGUAGCGGUGAAAUGCUUAGAUAUCACGAAGAACUCCGAUUGCGAAGGCAGCCUGCUGGACUGUAACUGACGCUGAUGCUCGAAAGUGUGGGUAUCAAACAGGAUUAGAUACCCUGGUAGUCCACACAGUAAACGAUGAAUACUCGCUGUUUGCGAUAUACAGUAAGCGGCCAAGCGAAAGCGUUAAGUAUUCCACCUGGGGAGUACGCCGGCAACGGUGAAACUCAAAGGAAUUGACGGGGGCCCGCACAAGCGGAGGAACAUGUGGUUUAAUUCGAUGAUACGCGAGGAACCUUACCCGGGCUCAAACGCAGGGGGAAUAUAUAUGAAAGUAUAUAGCUAGCAAUAGUCACCUGCGAGGUGCUGCAUGGUUGUCGUCAGCUCGUGCCGUGAGGUGUCGGCUUAAGUGCCAUAACGAGCGCAACCCUUAUCGAUAGUUACCAUCAGGUGAUGCUGGGGACUCUGUCGAGACUGCCGUCGUAAGAUGUGAGGAAGGUGGGGAUGACGUCAAAUCAGCACGGCCCUUACGUCCGGGGCUACACACGUGUUACAAUGGGGGGUACAGAAGGCAGCUACACGGCGACGUGAUGCUAAUCCCUAAAGCCUCUCUCAGUUCGGAUUGGAGUCUGCAACCCGACUCCAUGAAGCUGGAUUCGCUAGUAAUCGCGCAUCAGCCACGGCGCGGUGAAUACGUUCCCGGGCCUUGUACACACCGCCCGUCAAGCCAUGAAAGCCGGGGGUACCUGAAGCGCGUAACCGCAAGGAGCGCCCUAGGGUAAAACUGGUGAUUGGGGCU
rnacentral:rRNA from 1 species